AAAGAUAUAAACCAAGACUUCUAAUCUUAAAUUUCCUGUAGGAGUAUCUUAU
rnacentral:tRNA from 1 species